rnacentral:ncRNA from 1 species
GAAACGGCAAGGUACUUUAAAGGGUGCUACGCAAAACUACCGGUCUAAGGGGCUAUCACCUAUGACAGCGGAGUUACC